rnacentral:rRNA from 1 species
UACGGGGGGGGCAAGCGUUGUUCGGAAUUACUGGGCGUAAAGGGCGCGUAGGCGGUUCGCUAAGUUGGAUGUGAAAACUCUGGGCUCAACCCAGAGCCUGCAUCCAAAACUGGCGGGCUAGAGUUCUGGAGGGGGUAGCGGAAUUCCUGGUGUAGCGGUGAAAUGCGUAGAUAUCAGGAGGAACACCCGGGGCGAAGGCGGCCCUCUGGCUCGACCCUGACGCUGAGGCGCGAAAGCGUGGGGAGCGAACGGG